rnacentral:tRNA from 1 species
GAGGGUAUAGCUCAGUGGCAGAGCACAUGCUUAGCAUGCACAAGGUCCUGGGUUCAAUCCCCAGCACCUCCA